UGGUGAUAAGCUGCCUGAUUCUUGGG
rnacentral:piRNA from 1 species